AUGUGCUGUGAGCUCGAUGAGUAGGGCGGGACACGUGGUAUCCUGUCUGAAUAUGGGGGGACCAUCCUCCAAGGCUAAAUACUCCUGACUGACCGAUAGUGAACCAGUACCGUGAGGGAAAGGCGAAAAGAACCCCGGCGAGGGGAGUGAAAAAGAACCUGAAACCGUGUACGUACAAGCAGUGGGAGCACAGGUUUACCUGUGUGACUGCGUACCUUUUGUAUAAUGGGUCAGCGACUUAUAUUCUGUAGCAAGGUUAACCGAAUAGGGGAGCCGGAGGGAAACCGAGUCUUAAUUGGGCGUUAAGUUGCAGGGUAUAGACCCGAAACCCGGUGAUCUAGCCAUGGGCAGGUUGAAGGUUGGGUAACACUAACUGGAGGACCGAACCGACUAAUGUUGAAAAAUUAGCGGAUGACCUGUGGCUGGGGGUGAAAGGCCAAUCAAACCGGGAGAUAGCUGGUUCUCCCCGAAAGCUAUUUAGGUAGCGCCUCGUGAAUUCAUCUCCGGGGGUAGAGCACUGUUUCGGCUAGGGGGCCAUCCCGGCUUACCAACCCGAUGCAAACUGCGAAUACCGGAGAAUGUUAUCACGGGAGACACACGGCGGGUGCUAACGUCCGUCGUGAAGAGGGAAACAACCCAGACCGCCAGCUAAGGUCCCAAAGUCAUGGUUAAGUGGGAAACGAUGUGGGAAGGCCCAGACAGCCAGGAUGUUGGCUUAGAAGCAGCCAUCAUUUAAAGAAAGCGUAAUAGCUCACUGGUCGA
rnacentral:rRNA from 1 species